rnacentral:rRNA from 1 species
GGUUCGAUUAUGGCUCAGAUUGAACGCUGGUGAUGUUUUUACACAUGCAAGUCGAACGGCAGCACGGACUUUCGGUCUGAAAAAGGAGUGGCGAACGGGUGAGUAAUGUAUCGGAACGUGCCUAGUAGCGGGGAUAACUACGCGAAAGCGUAGCUAAUACCGCAUGUACGCCCUUCGGGGGAAAGCGGGGACCUUCGGGCCUCGCACUAUUAGAGCGGCCGAUAUCGGAUUAGCUAGCGGUGUAACGGCUCACCAAGGCGACGAUCCGUAGCUGGUUUGAGGAGGACGACUGCAGCCACUGGGACUGAGACACGGCCCAGACUCCUACGGGAGGCAGCAGUGGGAAUUUUGGACAAUGGGGAAACCCUUUCUUGAUCCAGCCAUCCAAGCGUGCGAUGAAGGCCUUCGGGUUGUAAAGCACUUUUGGCAGGAAAGAAACGGCACGGGAUAAUACCCCGUGCAAUCGACGGUACCUGCAGAAUAAGCACCGCUAACUACGCCAGCAGCCGCGGUAAUACGUAGGUGCAAGUAAGCGUUAAUCGGAAUUACUGGGCGUAAAGCGUGCGCAGGCGGUUCGGAAGAAAGAUGUGAAAUCCCAGAGCUUAACUUUGGAACUGCAUUUUUAACUACCGAGCUAGAGUGUGUCAGAGGAGGUGGAAUUCCGCGUGUGGCAGUGAAUGUGAUAUGCGGAGGAACACUGAUGGCGAAGGCAGCCUCCUGAUAACACUGACGCUCAUGCACGAAAGCGUGGGGAGCAACAGGGAUUAGAUACCCUGGUAGUCCACGCCUCAAACGAUGUCAACUAGCUGUUGGGGCCUUCGGGCCUUGGUAGCGCAGCUAACGCGUGAAGUUGAACGCCUGGGAGUACGGUCGCAAGAUUAAAAUCAAAGAAUUUGACGGGGAUUCUGCACAAGCGUGGAUGAUGACACUUGAUGCAACGCGAAAAAACCUUACCUACCCUUGACAUGUCUGGAAUCCCGAAGAGAUUUGGGAGUGCUCGCAAGAGAACCGAACAUAGGUGCUGCAUGGCUGUCAUUAGUCGUGUCGUGAUGUUGGGUUAUCCUGCAAUCGAUGUGGCAACCUCAUCGCUUAUUAGCAUGAAAGGGCACUCUUAAUGAGACUGCCGGUGACAAACCGAGAAGGGGAUGACGUCAAGUCCUCAUGGCCUCUUAUGGGGGUCAGCCACGUCAUACAAUGGUCGGGAUGAGGGUCGCCAACCCGCAGGGGAGCCAUCCCAAGAACCCGAUCGUAGUCCGGAUCGCAGUCUGCAACUCGACUGCGUGAAGUCGGAAUCGCUAGUAAUCGCGGAUCAGCAUGUCGCGGUGAAUACGUUCCCGGGCGAAGACACCGCCCGUCACACCAUGGAGUGGGUUUUACCAGAAGGGUUAGCCUAACCGUAAGGAGGGCGAUUACCACGGUAGGAUUCAUGACUGGGGUGAAGUCGUAACAAGGUAG